UGCGCGACUUGCCAUCAGUACUAGUCUUUCACAUCUACACGAUCCAAUGAGGUAGAACAGCAUCUAAUAUAAAUUUUUCGUAUUUCAAACUUUCAAGUUAUAUAUCAACGAUCUAGUCAAUACUCGCAGUAUAUUAACACCAGACAAAAGAUGCUGGUUGGUGGUGCUGUUAGCUACGUCGCUGGAAAGCAGGCAGUUCGUACAGUUUAUUGGCGAACUGCAAACAAUGGGCGUCUUUUGAAGACAGCGAAAACCUGCAUGUUUCAAGGACCACCGAAACCUGCACCAUCAUCAACUGCGGCCUCCUCGGGGUGUCCCGCACAAUCGCACAUGGACUUGAUACCCAAAGUUAUCUGAAACUGAGGAAACUACGUAUCAUUAUGAGAAAUAUUCAUUGUAUAAAUUUACAAACAUGAUUAUUAAUUAUUUAAUCUCAAUUUAUAUUUAUAUAAAAUAAUAUGACGAUGCAAUAAAGCGAUUAUUAUUUAUUUUCUUUUAU